GCCAGACUCCUACGGGAGGCAGCAGUGGGGGAUAUUGCACAAUGGGGGAAACCCUGAUGCAGCGACGCCGCGUGAGUGAAGAAGUAUUUCGGUAUGUAAAGCUCUACCAGCAGGGAAGAAAAAAGACGGUACCUGACUAAGAAGCCCCGGCUAACUACGUGCCAGCAGCCGCGGUAAUACGUAGGGGGCAAGCGUUAUCCGGAUUUACUGGGUGUAAAGGGAGCGUAGACGGCAAUACAAGUCGGAAGUGAAAUACCCGGGCUCAACCUGGGAACUGCUUUGGAAACUGUAUGGCUGGAGUGCUGGAGAGGUAAGCGGAAUUCCUAGUGUAGCGGUGAAAUGCGUAGAUAUUAGGAGGAACACCAGUGGCGAAGGCGGCUUACUGGACAGUAACUGACGUUGAGGCUCGAAGGCGUGGGGAGCAAACAGGAUUAGAUACCCCGGUA
rnacentral:rRNA from 1 species